UCCGUAGGGGGCUAGCGUUGUCCGGAAUCAUUGGGCGUAAAGCGCGUGUAGGCGGUCCGGUAAGUCCGCUGUGAAAGUCGAGGGCUCAACCCUCGAAUGCCGGUGGAUACUGUCGGGCUUGAGUACGGGAGAGGCGAGUGGAAUUCCUGGUGUAGCGGUGAAAUGCGCAGAUAUCAGGAGGAACACCGAUUGCGAAGGCAGCUCGCUGGAACGUUACUGACGCUGAGACGCGAAAGCGUGGGGAGCAAACAGG
rnacentral:rRNA from 1 species